rnacentral:rRNA from 1 species
AUGGGAACCUUUCUUGGGCUGCUGGCGAUGGGGAUCGCUGCUUCUGCUGAGACGACGGAGGCGGCGGCGCAAGCUGCUUCUCCUACAACGGACGGAGCCGGCGGCGCGGGGAGGGAGGAAAUAAUUCAGGGGAAAACCCUAGCGCUCGUCCGAUUCUUAUUUAUACGCUGCCGGCGGCCUUGCACAAGAUUGGCCUUGUGUGCUAAUGGGCCUAAGCCAGAGCAAGCGAGCGUACAUCACCAAAGUGCUAUUUUGAGCUCGAGCUUAGAUGCACCUGUUAUCAUAGCCGCUCUUUCGCGCUAA